UCAGAAUGAUGCUCACUAGUCCCGCAGCCAGAUGGGGUCUUGGGGUUGGGGGGGGAGAGGCCAGCUCACAUUUGGGGGUGCCCACUCUGUGCCUGGGGCUCCUGAGGGAUUGCUCUACCUGUUUCCCUCUUGCAGGCUCCCAACUGGGCCUGAGUGGAGGUGGGGGUGGAAAGGGGUUCACCCAGAAGUGGGGACCUGGACUAUGUCCAUUUUUUCAAUAAGGAUAAUGAAGUUCAGAGAAGUGAAGUCACUUGCCUAAAUGCCCCAAGGCUAGUGAGGAUUUGGGUCUGAAUUCGCAUCAGCUCUACCCAAGCAUGAAGUGUGUGUUCAUCCACUCCUUCAGCGUGUGUAUUCCCUGAACACCUACUGUGUGGCAGGGACCUCACCAGGCGGAGGAUUAGCAAGACGUUUUAAGGCGCAGCCCUCCUCUCCCCGGGGAGUGGGGAGGCAUCCAGGGCCGGAAGAGAUGGGGGAUGGGAAAGCGCUUGCAAAUGCCUAAGGAAGGAAUGUGCCCCCUUCUCCCCCAGCCCAAGCCCUGCCUCUGUUUGGCCACACAGAGGGGACUGGGGCGACAGAGGCCAGAAGUUACGGGCAGACCCCUACUGGACCACAGGACCACCCUGGAGCCUCCUUCUUCAAUCUUCCCUGACACCCAGGUGUAAGAUGAAGAGUAAACUAGCAGAGGACCCUGGGGCUUGGCCAGAUCUCACCUCGACCUGUGUCCUUGAGGCCCAGGGACUCACUGCUCAGAGAAGCACCCCUGCCUCCCCUGGGGGUCUUGUCCUGCUGGUCCUGCUGAGCAGAAGCGCUGCACAGAGACAGAGCCAUAAGCAGAACCCCGCCAGAGCAGGGCCAGCGCCAGGAGGAAGCCCUGAGCAGUGGCUCCUGGAAACAUGCCCUCUUCCUGAUUUCUGGAUGUGCCUCUGGCCACAUCUCCUCCUUCAUUCCUCCCUCUGACCUUCAGGCCUGACCUUCCAUCCAGCCCUGGAGACUUCUGCAGGAGUCAGCGGGCCCAUGGCUGUCACUGUUAACGAGCAUUUAGUAAAUAUCUGCUAUGGACCAGGUACUAGGCUCUGUGAGAACCCACGGGAUUAACCACUGGGGCACUUAAUACACUCAGACCCUGUGCUCUGAGCUGUGCCUCUGUCUUCUGUUUAGUCCUCGUGAUGACCCCGGGCAGUAAGUGUCACCAUG
rnacentral:lncRNA from 1 species